rnacentral:rRNA from 1 species
GGAUCAGAUUGUCGGUCGUGCCUCGGUACGCACUGGCACUAUUGGUUCCUACCUUCUGAAGAACCGCGAUGUCAUUAAUUUGGUGUUGCGGGGAAUUUGGACUGUUACUUUGAAAAAAUUAGAGUGUUUAAAGCAAGCUAACGCUUGAAUACAUUAGCAUGGAAUAAUGAAAUAGGACGUUCGAUCCUAUUUUGUUGGUUUCUAGGGUUGACGUA